rnacentral:tRNA from 1 species
CAAGCUAUAGCUUAUACUUAAAGCUUUUUAGUUACAUUAAUAGUAAGACAAAAUUUGUUUAGUUUGA